AGAAUUUCAGGAAGACACUGAUAAGAACUUGUUUCUCUUGUCCCUGUUUUUGGAACCCAUUUCUUCAGGGCCCCUACCUGGCCUUGCAGGUAAUGUUAUCACAGCUGUAGCUGGACUUUGGAGUGAGUCAGCCUGGUCAGGGAAGGACUUGUUUUUCUUUUUACUUGUUUUUCUUAUAUUUCCUGCUUCAUGAGCAAGAAACAACAAGCUUUACCUUCACAGUAGAAGAGUCCAGCAGAACAAAGUUGGAAGCAGAGGGAGUGAAUCUAAACCUAUGGACAGAUUCAUCUUGGAAACCCUAAGUGAGGCUAAAGGGAGAAAACAAAUUGGAAGGAGAUUUAAAGGAUUCUCAAAUACAAACUGAAGUUUUCAAGAACAGGAUCAUGAAGGACAGUAAAAAUCAGGAAUUGCCAAACUUUGUCACAAUGGCUGUACAACAUCAGUGAGCCGAAGUCAUACCACUGCAUUACAGCCCGGGCGACAGAGAAAGACUCCAUCUCAAAAAAAAAAAAAAAGGAUGGAUGG